rnacentral:rRNA from 1 species
AGCUGAUGUGAGAGCAUGAUCAGCCACACGGGCACUGAGACACGGGCCCGACUCCUACGGGAGGCAGCAGUAAGGAAUAUUGGUCAAUGGACGCAAGUCUGAACCAGCCAUGCCGCGUGAAGGAUGAAGGUCCUCUGGAUUGUAAACUUCUUUUAUAGGGGGCGAAAAAAGGGAAAUCUUUCUCACUUGACAGUACCCUAUGAAUAAGCACCGGCUAACUCCGUGCCAGCCGCCGCAGUAAAAC